rnacentral:rRNA from 1 species
GAUGAACGCUGGCGGCGUGCCUAAUACAUGCAAGUCGAGCGAACGGACGAGAAGCUUGCUUCUCUGAUGUUAGCGGCGGACGGGUGAGUAACACGUGGAUAACCUACCUAUAAGACUGGGAUAACUUCGGGAAACCGGAGCUAAUACCGGAUAAUAUUUUGAACCGCAUGGUUCAAAAGUGAAAGACGGUCUUGCUGGCACUUAUCGAUGGAUCCGCGCUGCAUUAGCUAGUUGGUAAGGUAACGGCUUACCAAGGCAACGAUGCAUAGCCGACCUGAGAGGGGGAUCGGCCACACUGGAACUGGGACACGGACCAGACUCCUACGAGAGGCAGCAGUAGGGAAUCUUACGCAAUGGGCGAAAGCCUGACGGAGCAACGCCGCGUGAGUGAUGAAGGUCUUCGGAGCGUAAAACUCUGUUAUUAGGGAAGAACAUAUGUGUAAGUAACUGUGCACAUCUUGACGGUACCUAAUCAGAAAGCCACGGCUAACUACGUG